AGCUUUCUGAAUUCACGAAGAGAUUUCGUCAGACACUAACCCAUUAGGGCUGAUCAGACUUCCAAGAUAAAUGAAGUU
rnacentral:pre_miRNA from 1 species